rnacentral:misc_RNA from 1 species
AGCAGCCGCGGUAAUUCCAGCUCCAAUAGCGUAUAUUAAAGUUGUUGCAGUUAAAAAGCUCGUAGUUGAAUUUCGGGGUUAGUAGGUUGGUCAUGCCUCCGGUAUGUACUGGUCUCACUGAUUCCUCCUUCCUGAUGAGCCGUAAUGCCAUUAAUUUGGUGUUGCGGGGAAUUUGGACUGUUACUUUGAAAAAAUUAGAGUGUUUAAAGCAAGCUAACGCUUGAAUACAUUAGCAUGGAAUAAUGAAAUAGGACGUUCGAUCCUAUUUUGUUGGUUUCUAGGAUUGACGUAAUGAUUAAUAGGGAUAGUUGGGGGCAUUAGUAUUCAAUUGUCAGAGGUGAAAUUCUUGGAUUUAUUGAAGACUAACUACUGCGAAAGCAUUUGCCAAGGAUGUUUUCAUUAAUCAAGAACGAAAGUUAGGGGAUCGAAGACGAUCAGAUACCGUCGUAGUCUUAACCAUAAACUAUGCCGACU